CGAGGGAAAUUCAUUCUCAAGACUGGUAUUAUUCGCAAAAACCCCUCAAGAACAUGCUAAAUCUGUUUAAUUAUACCGAAUGUUAAUGUUUAAAAACGCAUUGAUGAUCGUGACGUUACAAGCGUCCAGUCGGAUAGAGUAUUUUUUGGCAAAUACCACGGCAGAGAGGGUAAAACAAGUCAUAUCCUUUUUGCAAAUACCCCGGCGGCGUUAAAAAAUGAACAAUUUUCUUUUGAUAACAGUAAAUUGGUGAAAAAUACACUGGCUAUCAACCAAUCAAAACC
rnacentral:lncRNA from 1 species